rnacentral:rRNA from 1 species
AGACGAACAGCUCAGUAACUCUUAUUUUAUUUGAUGUAUUAGGAUUAUAACUAUGUUAAAUUAUAGAUAACAAUAAUACAAUAAGAAUAAGAUCUAUCAGUUAGUUGUUAAGGUAAUGGCUUAACAAGACUAUGACGGAUAACGGUAUUACUUUGUAAUAUUCCGGAGAAGGAGCCUGAGAGAUUGCUACUAAGUCUAAGGAUUGCAGCAGGGGCGAAACUUGACCUAUGAUAUGAUAUUGAGGCAGUUAUGAGUAGUAUUUUUAAUUAUUGUAGUAUUGUAAGUAUAUACUACAAGAUAAAUCGGAGGGCAAAUCGAGUGCCAGCAGCCGCGGUAAUACUUGUUCCGAUAGUGUGUAUGAUGAUUGAUGCAGUUAAAAAGUCUGUAGUUUAUGAUUAAUAAGCAUUGUGAGGUAUAUUGUAUGGUUAGGAGAGAGAUGAAAUGUGAUAACCCUAACUGGAUGAACAGAAGCGAAAGCUAUAUACUUAAAUGUAUUAUUAGAACAAGGACGUAAGCUAGAGGAUCGAAGAUGAUUAGAUACCAUUGUAGUUCUAGCAGUAAACUAUGUUAAAUCAUAGAUACAUUUUAUAAUAUGUAUUUAUGUAAAGAAAUUAAGAUUAUAUUGACUCUGGGGAUAGUAUGAUCGCAAGAUUGAAAAUUAAAGAAAUUGACGGAAGAAUACCACAAGGAGUGGAUUGUGCGGCUUAA